rnacentral:misc_RNA from 1 species
AAGUCGUAACAAGGUUUCCGUAGGUGAACCUGCGGAAGGAUCAUUACCGAGAUAGGGUUUCUUCGGAGCCCAACCUCCAACCCAUUGUCUACCAUACCUCUGUUGCCUCGGCGGGCCGCCGGCGCUUUUACGGGCGUCGCCGUCGGUCUUCACGGGCUUUCGAGCGCCCGCCGCAGGACUUACAAACUCUUUUUUAAAAGCAGUAUUCUGAGUGAGAAUUUAAUAACUUCAAAA